GGGGAUAUAGCUCAAUUGGGAGAGUACCUGCCUCGCAUGCACAUAGGCCCUGGGUUCAAUCCCCAGUACCACCA
rnacentral:tRNA from 1 species